rnacentral:lncRNA from 1 species
GCAGUGUAGCACUCGCGCCCUUGGGGGCUAGCGUUUGGCCGGAGCUACACACUCUUUACUCACGCACGCACACCGCCGUACACAGCACAAUCGUUCACCGUCCCGCCAAAGGCUCGUCUCUCGGGUUCUGCCUAGUGGAAGGAGUCGGACAACGCCGCACGUCACGGGCGUUUCGGAUUUCUUGCUUCCCAAAGGUUUGACGGCGGCCACCGGCGCCCCGGCCCAGCUCUGCUUUCCUUUGCUGACUCCUUCCUUUAGGUGUGAAUUUUAAAAUGCUGAUACCGCCCCAAGAGAGCUGAGUCAAGUGAGGCAAACGUUCGCCUGUUGUUCUCCUGACAGACUCCCUGCAGUGGGCAGGGGAAAUGUGGCCUUGGCCGACAUUAAUGAAGUGCCAGGAUGGAGGGAGGGGGCCUGCUGAUUUGUUCUGUUUUACUUUUUAAGGGUAACUAGAGCGUUACUGGAGUCGUCUGUGGGUUUGGGGAGUAUGUGGCGCGUGUGUGUGUCACACAUUUCACUGGCAACUCCCGCCAACCCCUUCCCAAGAAAUGAAGGCUCUAAUGUGGGCAGUUCUGCAACAAAGGUGAAACUUCCCCAAAUCACGAUUCCCCGCAAGAUGAGAGAGCAGGUGCAGCAUCCAUUUUCCCACUAUCACGCUUGAGAUGGUGGCUUUGGGCACUGCCGGGUGCCCCGACAUCCUUCCCAGAGCCCAGCCUUCCCACCCAGGCCCGGCCCUGCGCGGCCGCCUGCCUUUGCAUCAGAGACCGCGGCUGUGCCAUUGCCAAGGUGGGCAGCGCCGCCUCGCUUCCCCAUUCCUCCGUCUCCCACGCCUCUUGCGUGUUUGAGUCGCGAAGUGAUGGACUUUAAAUCUCAGAGGAGGAAUGAGAAACUUGGUUAGUGGCUCUCUUGGCAUGUUCGUAGCCCUGUGGUUGAAGUGGCUGAAACCUGCGUUGAGCCUCAGUCCAAGCAGCUGGGGCCACACCAGUUUGCAAAAGCGGAUGUGGCAGUUUCCACCGCAGCAGCAGCCUGCUGGCGCCUCAUCAGAUUCUCCUUUGGAGGAAGUAUCUUCUUCCCUUCAUUCUCGGUGAAUGGCAUCCAGAGAUAACCAAAAUCAGGUGUAUCUAGUUUCAAGUUCUGUCUUGCAACCGUGAUAAUUGGAGGAUGCAAACUUUACACUUUCUUCUCUAGCUGUCUACCACCACUGCUGCGCUUGUGGAUGACUGCAGGAACACCGGGUACUUGCCACAAGUAUCUCUCCAGAUUCAUCAGCCUUUCACCUGUGACAAGCUCAGUCAAGAAGUGGCUCCUAAGUAAAAGCUGGGGAAGAACAAGGAAGAUAGAGCUCAGAGUAGAAAGCUGUGAAGUUCUGCACAACAGGUCCCCUUGGCCUGCUCUAACAGUUGGAAGGUGGGGGAAGCAUUCAUUUACUCAACAAAUAUAUACUGAGUGCCUUUUGCAUGCUAGGCACGCUUCUAGGGGUUGAGGACACAGCAGAGAGCACAAACAACAAUUCCAGCCCUCGUGGAGCUUACCUCUUCCACGUGGGAAAGACAGAUGACAGGCAUGGUAGCUCAUGUGGAAGCUUCCCGAGGCCCUCACCCAGAAGCAGAUGCUGGAGCCAUGCUUGUACAGCUUGCAGAACUAAAGCCCAGCUGGCUUGGUUCCAUGAAUCUUUGCCCUUCUUUCCAUCCACUUCUUCCUGCUUGGACAUUGGUUACCUGGAGAAGCAGAAGCCAUUUUAAGAUGAUGAAAGCAAAAGUUAAAUGUAUGAGAUGAUGGUGCAGAAAGCCAAAAGGGGCCUCCAGAACACUGAGCUUUGUGGAGUCGUGUACCAUAGCUGUAUUGCCGACCUCUGAACUUCCUGCUGAGAUAAAAAACAAUCCUUAUGUGUUUAUACUACUUUUAUUUCAGUUUCUUUUAAGUAUAGCAAACACAUUCCAAAUAAUAUGCAUCUGAAGUUUUUGGUUUUGUUUUUAAAUUUUUUUUUUAGGGAUGGGUUCUGGCUGCGUAGUGGCUAGAGUGUAGUGGCUAUUCUUAGGUGCGGUCAUAGCUCACUACAGCCUCUAACUGGCCUCAAGCAAUCCUCCCACCUCAGCUUCCAGGGUAGCUGGGAUUACAGGAGAGCACCACACUGAAGUUUCUGUUAAAUAGAAUGUUUGCUGUAGAUUUUUAGUUGAUGUCCUCUGUUAGGUUGAAAACCUUCCUUUAUUUUCUUGUGAAAUUUCUAAGAGAUUUUUAAAUCAUUAACUGGUAUUGAACUUUAUAAAAUGAUUUUUCUGUGUCUGAGAUGAUCAUGUGAUUAUUUUUCCUGUUUAUGUCCCUUGAUGUGAUGAUUUUUAUUGUAGAUCUUCCUUUAUUGAACCAAAUUUACGUUAUUUAUAUUAACCCUAUUUGAUUGUAAUAUAUUUUUAGUAGGGUAUUAGACUCUGUUACCUAACAUUUUACUUAGCAUUAUUUUGCAUCUAUGUUCAUAAGUAAAAUAGGAGUUUUUUUCUUUAUGUGACUAGGUAUCAACAUUAUAUUGGCCUUAUAAAUUAUGUUGAACACUU